rnacentral:rRNA from 1 species
AUUGAACGCUGGCGGCAUGCUUUACACAUGCAAGUCGAACGGCAGCGCGGGCUUCGGCCUGGCGGCGAGUGGAGAACGGGUGAGUAAUGCAUCGGAACGUGCCCAGUAGUGGGGGAUAGGCCGGCGAAAGCCGGAUUAAUACCGCAUACGCCCUGAGGGGGAAAGCGGGGGACCGAAAGGCCUCGGGCUAUUGGAGAGGCCGAUGUCGGAUUAGCUAGUUGGUGGGGUAAAGGCUUACCAAGGCGACGAUCCGUAGCUGGUCUGAGAGGACGACCAGCCACACUGGGACUGAGACACGGCCCAGACUCCUACGGGAGGCAGCAGUGGGGAAUUUUGGACAAUGGGGGCAACCCUGAUCCAGCCAUGCCGCGUGCGGGAAGAAGGCCUUCGGGUUGUAAACCGCUUUUGUUCGGGAAGAAAUCCUCUGGGCUAAUACCCCGGGGGGAUGACGGUACCGGAAGAAUAAGCACCGGCUAACUACGUG